GCUGCACUUCAUGGCUCAAUACAAACAGUGUGACUGGAACAGGACUUUGAUCUCCCAUGCUAUUAAAACCACCUAAAACAUUCACAAUCGGCUAUGAUGCUACAUAAAACUGUUUACAUAUUCCAGUUAUUUUGGUGAAUCACAGUCACUAAACCCCUCCAGUAGACUGAGGUUUUGGUUCCCCAUGUUAAGGCCAAGGCUUUAGCUCAUCAGCAUAACACUGUCCAUGGAACACAACAGACUCUGGUUUUAAACAUUUGGUAAAUGGUAGUAUUGUUCAUACAUACAUUUUAUGAACCAAAGCUGUGUUGGAUUGGUAGCAAGGAGGUAUCUCAACUGCUCAACCUGUAGUCUAGUCAUAAACACUGUUCAUACAUGGCUUUAUCAUGUCUGCACACAUUUUUAGGCAGGCGUUGAUGAUUAAAACAUGCAUUUUAAAGGCAGCUAUGAACUAAUAUGAUUUCAUCAAGGUUUUCAGUGACAGUCAGUGAAAGGGUUUUAUCAUUGCUUAAUGACCUACCAUUAGCCAAAGUCCUAAUAUUAUUGAAGUAUGAAUCUAUGAUUGGGCAGCGGUAAUAAAGCCUGAAAGAAAAUGUUUAAGAGGCGUGUCAAUGACACUAUGUCGGUCAGUCACAUGGCGAAGAUAAUCAGUUGUCUGUUCAAUAUCUUACUAAUAGGCUUUCAUAAAUCAUCUUACUGGGUAGAGCUGUUAUGAAACCGAUGGGGUUAAAGAGCAUAGAAGAUGUGUGGAAGCAUCAGACAUGACUGACACAGAAGAGAACAGAUUGGAUCUUCAAAAUGGAAAACAGACUUCAUUCCAGAUGUCAAAAAACAUUUAAAUAAACUACCAUAUUAUCACAGAUCAAGGCCCACAACAAUAAUACUUCAUCAUAUUAACAGUUUUGAGUAAGGCUUACAAAAAUACAAUUUAUUCAAGAUUUUUGAAUAUUUACACAUGUACACAGAGCAGGUGGAGGGACAAAUCUUGCUUCACAGGACACACAUUCAUAGACGUCCAUAAUCCCACGCUUGCCACAUAAGCCGAUUCAUCCUUUUCCCACAGGGCGCCUCCCAAACACACCUUUCACAAACCCCAGUGCUAAGUCUCUGCAGAACAGUUAGUACAGCUUCAGGGUCAUGGAUCCACGCAUAGCCUAGGUUCUCUUCGAGUGUGUUUGGCCUUCAGUUUUCCCAGCUAGUAUGGUCCCCCGGGUGACAGUGGGGCUGAGGAGGAACCAAACCAAGGCGCAGUGGAUGGAGAACGCAAUUAGACAUCUGGGGCGUGUGAGAUCUCUGAGUAGGCUGGAGGAAGAUCUGCUUCGAUGAAGUCUGGCUUCAUCUCCACCUAGAAGAACGCAACCCAAGCUGGUUUAAUGAACGCCAAACACUCAGAUUCCAGAAUACAGUGCAACACGUUAGCGUUUUACCCAAAUGAAACCUCUUCGUAAGGUAAUCGACCUCAUUGGACCUCUCGCUCCAAAGGACCUCUUACCUCGUUGUAGGCAGGAGGCGGGCUGUAGGACUCUGUGGUGCUGUAACGCGGAGGCCUGUGGAGGUCUUCGUUGUCACAGGACACCGCUGGGAAGGGGAUAACGAAAACCGAGGGCCUGUCGAGUCUCUCCUCCCGCUCCAUUCGCUCCUCGCGGACGCGGUGAAAGGCCUUGCAGAAGGCCGUGCAGCAGAGGAUGAUAAUUCCAAACGUGAUGAUCGGCAUGAAGAUUCUGAGGAAGUACAUUUUGAUUGGUCAGUGAAUUCGCCCUGCUUGGCGAGAUACAUGCAGAUGCCUAUUGUUGACAUUGUUGUUGUGUGUAUGCGCGUGUCUGCGCUACGGGCAACCGUUCUGCAAAACUUUGAGACUGUGUUUUGGGUUUUCAGGUGACCUAAUGAGGUUUGAGGUCAUCUCCUGUUUCACCUGCGCUGGUCACCAUGUUGUUAGUCCAGGAGUCUUUCACCCGGUCUGGUUCUGCUAAAAUCGAAAAGCUGCAUGCACAGCGCUUCAGACGUAAUGAUACUUAGCAACCAAUUCUGUGGUUUCUGCUACUUAUUGACACUGCCCUGGCAUGGUUGGAUUUCCCUGCCUGGUUUACUCCUCUUUGAUUAUUCACUAGAUUUCCCUUAAUUAGUCUUAGUAUUUAUUUUGGUCUGCCUUCCCUGAGGCAAACCUGAUGGGCUUGAAUGAUGGGUAUCUAAUUAAGCAAUAAGGCAUGUGUUAUGUGGUGGCAAAUAUUCCACAGCUAAGGGCUUUUCUUAGACACAAAUGGAUACAGCACUUAGUUGUGGUACAUUGGCAAAAUUCCACAAACCCUCAAGAUGCCUUUCUGCAAUUACAAGUCAAUUACCGAUGUGAAUAGACAAGUUAAAAGUGAUGUAACGUCAUACUGUCUCUUAUUAACCAGGUGAUUGGAUACUGAAUGCUGAUUGGAUGAUAGCCAUGGUAUAUGUGACCGUAUUCCAUGGGUAUGAUAUAACAUCAGUUUUUUUAGCUCUCAUUCUGUUGGUAAACAGUUUGUAAGAGCAAUAAGCCAUCUCGUAAGGUACUGCUAAUUGUGAUAUAUAGGCAAUACAGCACGGCUAAGCGCCCUGUUUGAGCAACUAUCCAUUUUGUAUUGUAAGUAGUUAAUGCAAGACACUGUCCUAGGACACUUACUCUAAAAUGGGGAACGAGACUUCAAAGGACAUCUUGAGAAGUUACGCAACAGCAGCACCACAGAAGAAACCUGUAAUUGAAAGAUAAGACCUUGGGUUAUCAUCCCUUUCACUUCCUCAUAAAACUUUGUAUUGAACACGUCUGUAAUCUCACGUAUGGCCCUCUAAUUUCAAUGGACAGUGAACUGAACAUUUGUUGUGAAACCACUCAGAACACUGGGUAAUUACAAAAUGCCCUUCUGUGAUUACAUUACCUCUUCCCGCUUCCAGCCAGUCAUUAAGGAGGAACAUUCAGGUCACUGUGAAGCAUUGACCUAGUUCAGAUGGAGCUGAUAAUGGCUUUGUGAUGUGUUGAAAACCUGGUUGCUGUAUACUGACCAACAAAGUGCAUUUGGAAAGUAUUCCAACCGCUUCACUUUCUCCAUGUUUUGCUGUGUCACAGACUUACUUUAAAAUGUAUGUAAGUAUUUUUUGCCAUCAAUCUACACACAAUAACCCAUAACGACAAACCGCAAAAUUUUUUUUUUGCAAUGCCUACCAAUUUAUUGAAAAUAAAUAAAAGAUGGAGUCCACUGUGCUUCUGGGAAUUUCCAAUGCUUUAACUAUUUUUUAUAAUGUCCCCAAAAUCUA
ensembl:lncRNA